CAGGGAAUCUUGCGCAAUGGACGGGAGUCCGACGCAGCGACGCCGCGUGGGUGAAGACGGCCUUCGGGUUGUAAAGCCCUUUUCUGGGGGAAGAGAGAGGACGGUACUCCAGGAAUAAGUGUCGGCUAACUACGUGCCAGCAGCCGCGGUAAUACGUAGGACACGAGCGUUAUCCGGAUUUACUGGGCGUAAAGCGCCUGUAGGCGGUUCUUCAAGUCGUUUGUGAAAGCCCUGGGCUCAACCUGGGGAGGUCAAGCGAUACUGGAGGACUUGAGGGUGACAGAGGGGAGUGGAAUUUCCGGUGUAGCGGUAAAAUGCGCAGAUAUCGGGAGGAACACCAGUGGCGAAGGCGGCUCCCUGGGUCACCCCUGACGCUGAGAGGCGAAAGCUAGGGGAGCAAACAG
rnacentral:rRNA from 1 species